GGGGGGGGCAAGCGUUGUUCGGAAUUACUGGGCGUAAAGGGCUCGUAGGCGGCCAACUAAGUCGGAUGUGAAAUCCCCAGGCUCAACCUGGGAACUGCAUCCGAUACUGGAUGGCUUGAAUUCGGGAGAGGGAUGCAGAAUUCCAGGUGUAGCGGUGAAAUGCGUAGAUAUCUGGAGGAAUACCGGUGGCGAAGGCGGCAUCCUGGACCGACAUUGACGCUGAGGAGCGAAAGCUAGGGGAGCAAACGGGAUUAGAUACCCCGGUAGUCCUAGCCCUAAACGAUGAAUGCUUGGUGUAACGGGUAUCGAUCCCUGUUGUGCCGAAGCUAACGCAUUAAGCAUUCCGCCUGGGGAGUACGGUCGCAAGGCUGAA
rnacentral:rRNA from 1 species